rnacentral:rRNA from 1 species
AGCGAACGCUGGCGGCAGGCUUAACACAUGCAAGUCGAGCGCCCGGAGCAAUCCGGGAGCGGCAGACGGGAGAGUAACACGUGGGAACGUACCCUUUGGUUCGGAAUAAUCCAGGGAAACUUGGACUAAUACCGGAUAAGCCCUUACGGGGAAAGAUUUAUCGCCAAAGGAUCGGCCCGCGUCUGAUUAGCUAGUUGGUGGGGUAAUGGCCUACCAAGGCAACGAUCAGUAUCCGGCCUGAGAGGGCGGACGGACACACUGGACUGAGACACGGCCCAGACUCCUACGGGAGGCAGCAGUGGGGAAUUGUUCGCAAUGGGCGCAAGCCUGACGACGCAACGCCGCGUGGAGGAUGAAGACC